rnacentral:rRNA from 1 species
UACGUAGGGUCCAAGCGUUGUUCGGAUUUAUUGGGCGUAAAGGGCGCGUAGGCGGCUUGGUAAGUCGGGUGUGAAACCUCCAGGCUCAACCUGGAGACGCCACUCGAUACUGCUAUGGCUAGAGUCCGGUAGGGGAGCGUGGAAUUCCUGGUGUAGCGGUGAAAUGCGCAGAUAUCAGGAGGAACACCAGCGGCGAAGGCGGCGCUCUGGGCCGGAACUGACGCUGAGGAGCGAAAGCGUGGGGAGCGAACAGG